GAAAUGCGAUAAGUAAUGUGAAUUGCAGAAUUCAGUGAAUCAUCGAAUCUUUGAACGCACCUUGCGCUCCUUGGUAUUCCUUGGAGCAUGCCUGUUUGAGUAUCAUGAAAUCUUCAAAGUAGAUCUUUUGUUAACUCAAUUGGUUUCUACUUUGGUAUUGGAGGUCUUUGCAGCUUCACACCUGCUCCUCUUUGUUCAUUAGCUGGAUCUCAGUGUUAUGCUUGGUUCCACUCGGCGUGAUAAGUUAUCUAUCGCUGAGGACACUGUAAAAGGUGGCCAAGGUAAAUGCAGAUGAACCGCUUCUAAUAGUCCAUUGACUUGGACAAUACUUUUAUGAUCUGAUCUCAAAUCAGGUAGGACUACCCGCUGAACUUACGC
rnacentral:misc_RNA from 1 species